rnacentral:tRNA from 1 species
AGGGUCGUAGCUCAGUGGUAGAGCACUACGUUGACAUCGUAGUGGUCGGCAGUUCGAUCCUGCCCGGCCCUACCA